rnacentral:rRNA from 1 species
CCUACGGGAGGCAGCAGUGAGGAAUAUUGGUCAAUGGGCGGGAGCCUGAACCAGCCAAGUAGCGUGAAGGAUGACUGCCCUACGGGUUGUAAACUUCUUUUAUCAGGGAGUAAAGUGAGGCACGUGACCCUUUGUGUAUGUACUUGAUGAAUAAGGAUCGGCUAACUCCGUGCCAGCAGCCGCGGUAAUACGGAGGAUCCGAGCGUUAUCCGGAUUUAUUGGGUUUAAAGGGAGCGUAGAUGGGUUGUUAAGUCAGUUGUGAAAGUUUGCGGCUCAACCGUAAAAUUGCAAUUGAUACUGUCAGUAUUGAGUACAGUAGAGGUAGGCGGAAUUCGUGGUGUAGCGGUGAAAUGCUUAGAUAUCACGAAGAACUCCGAUUGCGAAGGCAGCUUACUAACCCGCCACUGACACUGAUGCACGAAAGUGUGGGUAUCAAACAGGAUUAGAUACCCCUGUAGUC